rnacentral:tRNA from 1 species
UGGGAUUAUAGCUCAGUGGUAGAGGGCUUACUUCACAUGAGUGAGGCCCUGAGUUUGAUCCUCAGAACCACAA